GUCAGCUUCCAAGCUUUGUGCUCAUCUAAGGCAGUUAUCCUGAAAAACCUUGGAUUUAUUCAGUAGUAACCCUCUGUCGCUACUCCCUGAUCUAAUUAACCUGUCUACGACACAGUUUCUUCAUCUGUAAAGGGGGCUAAUAAAAACCCUUACUUGGUGUCUUAAUUGUGAGGCUUCAUCUAUGACAACACAAUUCAAAGUGCUUUACACAUUGCAAAGCACUACUUACAUAUUAGUUACUCGUUUUCCUAAGUGCGGCCACUUUUACGGAGGAGGAAAGUGCGCCCACCAAGAUCAAACGUCUUCCCGAGGUCUCACGGCCAUGAGGGCAGAGCUUGCUCCGUUACCUGCACCCAUCAAACCCUCCCCAAUUUUCAAAGCCUGGUUCAAGCACACGUCUUCCUCAGCCUGGCGCAGGGGGCCAAGAGCCCCAUGUCCCAGGAGGCGGUAAACUCCAUGAGGACAGAGCUGUUCACCUGUUUCCUCCAAAUCCAGCA
rnacentral:lncRNA from 1 species